rnacentral:rRNA from 1 species
AUGGCUCCUACCGAGGAUGAGGCUGAUGUAGAGGAGGGAGAAGAGAAGAAGAAGAAGGAAAGGAAAGCAGCCGGAGCUGCUUUCACGUGGAUUCAAAGAAACUUUGCUCAUUGCCCUGCGGAUGCCACUGAUAAUGUGGUCCAGACACAUGCUCGUGUCUAUAUGUGGUACGUUGUCUCGAGGACUUUGUUUCCUGACUCCACGGGUAAGAACGCUCCAUGGAUGUGGCUGAAGGCGUUGACCGUCUUCAAUAGCAAAUGGAGCUGGGGUUCAGCGAUUCUUGCCUACUUGUACCGACAGGUAGUUGGUUUGUUUUGUUAUCAACUCAUUUCUUCAUUACCAAUGCAACCUUGCUGUCAACUUAACAUUGUUUUCUUUCAUAUGUAG